AAAUACCAUGCAGCCAGAGAGAAGUCAAGACAGUACUACCCCUCAGUUUUUACUCCCAAACUAUUGCUUUUUCCAUCUCUACCACGCGUUGUUCCCUGAAGGCAGUAAAAUAAUACCUAAAGGUAUAGUUACAGUGUUUAUCUAAUCACUGUUCCACUCCCCAGCCCCCACCCCAAACACACACUCAUAUACAAUCCUCCAGUGGCUACCCUCCUUUCAGGAUAAAAUCCAAACCUCUGCUGGGCCUGGCCUAUAGGACACCAAGACAGGAAUGUGCAGCAAAAGGGGAAGACUAUGAGAAAAUGAAGUUCCGGAGAUCAGUGCAGAAAGAUGGGAAAGGACAAAGAGGAGGAAAAACCCUGAUCUUGGAUUUUCAGAGUUUGUUGCUGCCUAGUUACACCAGUGUCAUCGGUUGACCAAGCAGAUCAAGCCUGACCUAGAACAUAUGAAAGAGUAAGAGAGAAACAGUAAGGCAAUGUGUUGUAAUGUAAUAGCAUACUCUUGUAUGCUAUCAGUAGGGGUUGAAUUUAAUGGUGCUAAUUCUGGAGCUUUGUUUCCUGGCUGUGGAGACUGCGUCUGUCACUUAAUAAACUGUGUCACACUA